rnacentral:rRNA from 1 species
UACGGAGGGUGCAAGCGUUAUCCGGAUUCACUGGGUUUAAAGGGUGCGUAGGCGGAUCUUUAAGUCAGUGGUGAAAUCUCUCGGCUCAACCGAGAAACUGCCAUUGAUACUAUUGAUCUUGAAUACAGUUGAGGUGGGCGGAAUGUGUCGUGUAGCGGUGAAAUGCUUAGAUAUGACACAGAACACCGAUUGCGAAGGCAGCUCGCUAAACUGUGAUUGACGCUGAGGCACGAAAGCGUGGGGAUCAAACAGG